rnacentral:rRNA from 1 species
UACGUAGGGUGCAAGCGUUGUCCGGAAUUAUUGGGCGUAAAGAGCUCGUAGGCGGUCUGUCGCGUCGGAUGUGAAAACUCGGGGCUCAACCCCGAGCCUGCAUUCGAUACGGGCAGACUAGAGUUCGGUAGGGGAGACUGGAAUUCCUGGUGUAGCGGUGAAAUGCGCAGAUAUCGGGAGGAACACCAAUGGCGAAGGCAGCUCGCUGGGACGGUACUGACGCUGAGACGCGAAAGCGUGGGGAGCAAACAGGG